rnacentral:lncRNA from 1 species
CUCCUAAGGCUUUCGUUCCACCGGCACCACAUUUGCUCAGGCCAAUCUACACCCCAUGGCCAUUAAAAGUUAUUCAAAUCAUGACGCUGCACCCCACGGUUUAGGUUCUAGGGGGCGCCAAAGAUAACCCUAAAAUCCACAUAUUUAAGUCUUAUAACUUUUUAUUUUUGUCCUCACUGGCCUCCAAGUUUUCUAGGAUGAUGCAAUGUCCAGCCAUCAACACAUUUGUGAAGGAAUUUUUACUCCCCAAAAGAGCGCCCCCCCAUGGCAGGAGAAAAAAGUCCAUUUUUUCUUGUCCCCUAAGGUGAAAAUACAUAUUGUUGAGAUUCACGCCUAUACGCUUUGUCAUAUUGACACAAAAUUUGACAAUCACGUGCCUUGCCUGGUAUCAUUUUUUUCAGCACAACCUCACCUGUGCGAAUUUACAGUUAUUUUAUCAUGUUGACAUACUGAAUUUACACAAUGGACCCAAAUUCACACACAAAACAUAAAAUCUGAGUGGAAAAAAGUAACAUUUUUACUGUGAAAACCACAAAUAUGUGUGAUGAACUGUUUUUAAAACUUAAACUUCAAAUAAAAAUUGUAAACUUCAAAACAUAUGCAAAUUUUUAACAAAGAACAUAGUGAUUUACCUCUAUUUACAUCAAAAUGCAGGCAAUGGCCCAGGCGUUCUUUGUAAAAUUAUUUACAAAACACUGUAUAGUCUCACAAAUGUCACUUUUUAUUUAUGCCACUACAAAAAAACAUGAUGUAAAUGAUGCAUGAUGUAAAACAUGAUGUAAAAAACUUGUGUAGAUCCUCCUCUAUGUCAGUCCAUGUGUAAUUUUUCCAUAAUUCUUUGUUUUUUGCAGCAUUUUUGUUAGUGUAACUGCAGAUUGUGCUGACAGUGUCUAUGGCACAAAAAAAAAAAAAAAUUUAAAAUGCCUCAACAUGAACCCCUGGUGGUCUCUGAGGGUGAAACCUGCUAACUGCUGCAGCUCUGUCAGCUUCAGUCUCCCAUGCAGAGCUCUGAGCGCAUGUGUGGCUCUGCACCCUUAGCAGCGUUGCUAACUCCUCAGUAAGGAAAGCCUGCUUCAUGUCAGAGUCUCUAAACUCCAGAAGAAGUCGAUAAAAGUCCCUUUCUUUCUAAAAAAAAGUCGUUAGGGGGUCUGAAAAGUCAUUGAAUCUAACAACAAAGUCGCUAGGUUUGCAACUACGUGUCCCAGACUGCAUCCCUGCUGAGAGUCCCUCCCUCGCUUCUCAUGUUGCAGGAAGAACGUAAGCGCCCGCCCCUUGUCAAUCAGUCACCAUAUAAUUUUGGAUUGGUUGUUGUGGUGAAGUUUUCCACCAAUAGGAGAGAUGUUGUGGUGUGUUUUUUUUUUCUUUUGGCAAGCCUUUUCCGCCUGUAAGACCUGUCGCUAAUGUCUGCAUGCUAUGUUUUCCUGUCUCAUACAGCGCGAUCGAGCGCCGAACGUGAUCAAAAUAAGCAGAAAAAAAGUAUCGCGGACAUAAUUUAUCAUAACUCUGGUUUUAUUUGGCCUAUCAACACAAUUUAAAAACUGGUAUAUAGGUUGAGGUCCUCACUUUUGAGAUAAGUUGAAACGGAGAGUCAACGAGGCUCCGUCUUGCAGCUACAUCCGGUUAAAUAUGUCAUGUGACUUGAACGCACACACAGACACACACACACGCACACACACACACACACACACACACACACACACACACACACACACACACACUCAGAGUCUGGUUUUUAGCACCUGCAAAAACAUGCUAUUUACAUAUUUGACAAGAAUGCAGAGGCUCCUUUUACCCCUGAAAAAAAUCAAAUUUCAAACACAACUUGACUGGUCAUUUCUCCAAAAGACAACCAUGAAGCUCCAUCCAAACCUGAAGCAGGCAGUUGGUGCAUGUGUACAGUAACCUGAGGGGAGUGAGGUGACUGCUUCUGAGGAGAACAUGAGCAGUGAAGAUUCACCUUGGAGCUAGAACAGAGACAUGCACAUGAUUAUACAGGGGCAGGGGCUCAAGUUUUUUCCAGUCGUUCAUACAAUAUGGAAAUUAAUGUGAAAUUAAAACACAAAGUAUUAAUAGAAAGGUAAUGACUGUCCUGUGUAGGUGACAGUGAUAUCCAAUAGGCUAGGCACUCACGAGGCUGGCUGUGGCAAGUGUAAGUGAAAGCAACACGCACUGGCAGGAAGAACAGCAAACGCCGAUGAAGGAAAAGGGUCUUUGCAGUGAUGGGCGUUACCAGAGAGGGCGAUGGCCAGAGGACACAAAUGGGACGGGGAGGCAGCACGUUGCGGGGGGGACGCGACACGGCUCGGGCCCGCCAGUGCCCCAACGGGGUCCUAGUUUUUUCUUUUUCCUCCCCUUUGAACUGGAAAAUGGCCCACUUCCCACUGGCGAAAACUCAUGAAAUUUGGCAGGACGACCGGGCCUGGUGAAAAAUUUGAUAUUCUGAAGUCGCCCAAACAAUAAAAUGCAAAAUGGCUCCAUAGCGCCCCCUAAGAUGAAAAUUCACACUAUUGACUGUCACGGCUGUACGCUUUGUCAUAUUGACACAAAAAUUGACACACACAUGUAUCUCAAUAAGAUCUACAAAAAAGUCAGUGCAGGCGUAUCUGUCAAAUUUACGGUUAAAGGGUUAUUUCGCAUUUUUUGGCGAUCCACACACAUCGGAAUUUCGCUAACUCCUCUAAAGACUUUCGUUCCAUCGGCACAACAUUUGCUCAGGUCAAUCUACACCCCAUGGCCAUUAAAAGUUAUUCAAAUCAUGACGCUGCACCCCACGGUUUAGGUUCUAGGGGGCGCCAAAGAUAACCCUAAAAUCCACAUAUUUAAAAGUCUUAUAACUUUUUAUUUUUGUCCCCACUGGCCUCCAAGUUUUCUAGGAUGAUGCAAUGUCCAGCCAUCAACACAUUUGUGAAGGAAUUUUUACUCCCCAAAAGAGCGCCCCCCCCAUGGCAGGAGAAAAAAGUCCAUUUUUUCUUGUCCACUAAGGUGAAAAAACACAUUGUUGAGUGCUACGCCUGUAUGUUUUGUCAAAAUGACACAAAAUUCGACACACACGUGUAUCUCAAUAAGUUUUACAAAAAAGUCAAUGCGGGCGUAUCUGUCAAAUGUAAGGUUAAAGGGCUAUUUCGCAUUUUUUGCCGAUCCGCACACAUUGGAAUUUCGCUAACUCCUCCUAAGGCUUUAGUUCCACCGCCACCAAAUUUGCUCAGGCCAAUCUACACCCCAUGGCCAUUAAAAGUUAUUCAAAUCAUGACGCUGCCCCCCACGGUUUAGGUUCUAGGGGGCGCCAAAGAUAACCCAAAAAUCCACAUUCUUAAAAGUCUUAUAACUUUUUAUUUUUGUCCUCACUGGCCUCCAAGUUUUGUAGGAUGAUGCAAUGUCCAGCCAUCAACACAUUUGUGUAGGAAUUUUUACUCCCCAAAAGAGCGCCCCCCCACGGCAGGAGAAAAAAGUCAAUUUUUUCUUGUCCCCUAAGGUGAAAAUACACAUUGUUGAGUGUCACGCCUGUACGCUUUGUCAUAUUGACACAAAAUUUGACAAUCUCGUGUAUCUCAAUAAGAUCUACGAAAAAG